AUUCCUGACCAGGGCUCGAGGGAAUCAGCAUGUUAUACCGGGAGCAGAGGGUGCACUGCUUGGGCUGUCAGCAUUGCUUGGCUGGAUCUCCAGACCAGGAAAGCAGCAACAUGGACUAUUUGUGAUUGCCUCUUCUUCUGGGCUUAUUCCUGAAUUCUGAGGAGAAAGAAAGGCACAUAACACGUCAGGUGGGUGUUCUGCUCGUUUGCCGUGUUUGAGCUCUCAAGUGUUGACCUGGUGCCAAUGGUGGAUGUUCUCCUGUCUGCAGGAGCCCUACAAGUCACCUUCCAUGAUUCUCUUGGACCGGUGAAAACAAAGUUUUUUGGAAAAAAAAAAAAAAAAAAGAACUCAUGAGUUGAACUCAGUAUUUAAGAGAAAAAAAUUGCAUACUGAACAAAGUUGCAGCCUGCAACUGGUUUCCAUACAAAGGGUGAGGUGUCUCCAGUGAUCCAUCCAAGUGUGAAGCUUUGCCUUCUUUUUUAUGCUACAUGACUGAUGUUGACAUUUCCAUAAGAAAACUUAUUUGGUUUUUUGUUUUGUUUUGUUUCAAAGUUUCUUUGCUUUUAAGAUGAGCUUUGCUUUUACAAAUGACUCCAAUCCUGAACAAGAAGGGGGAAAGUGCUGCUUUUCAAGGGUUUAAUGACUUGGAGAGAGAGUGAAGCAACUUUGUUUCAAGCCAAAUCAAAGACCUGAGCUGACCCCUCAAAAACUGGGGGGACCUAUUCAGGUCUAUCAAGAUUCAGGAGUGACUGCAAAAGGCAUCUUCAUUCCUUGUCUAAGGGAAAGGUUGAAAAUGAAGCGUGGCCCCUCUGCAGGGAAAUCAUGGGUAGAGUUGAGGAGAAUGGGAGUGGAAAUCUCUUUUAUGCAAGUAUUUGGAUCACCUCUCCUGCCCAUGUCCAGCCAUAGCAGCAAACAUGAGGCCAAUGGCUUGAGCUUCAAGUUCAGCAUGUGGCUGGGGCACGGGAUGAAUUAUAUCCUGCACCAGGUGGUCCUCAGAGCAUGUCUGAGACUGGUUGAUGGCUCUCUGCCAUGGGGUCAUGGGGUGGCUCUUGCAAGCUGCCCAGAGAUCCUAUCAGGUUGAAAUGUGUGAGUCUGGGGACACGGUCCCAGUGGCAUCGCUCAGGAGCACACCAGAAUGUUCUUCCUGCAGGCCUUGUAGAUACUGCUGAGAAAUGAGAGCACACAUUGCAUCAAGAAAUCCUCAUAUUGAGAAAUUCAUUUCACAUAUUGAGGAAUUCAUCCCUCAGCCGUCAUACAGAACAACUCCGCCACGACAGCUUAUGCAUGAGACAUGUUUACAGCUUCCGUAAACCAUUUUCAGAGCCACAGAACAAGUUAUUUUGGGAUGCUCUGUGCUGAAGGCGACUUCUCCAUGGUGACAAUUUCGUGUGCCUGCUCUGCUCUGUGAUUCUGGCUUUGAAAUAAUGCUGGCUUUCAGACGCAGGCCCCAUGUCUGUACGUGUAGGGUGAUGGCUUGGUACUCUCCUCAUCAUGCUGUCAAUAGAUGCACUUCUUGAGCAGUCCCCACCCUAAAGCCACCAUUUUGUGUGGCACCAAUGUCAGCCUUCCUUAACCCAUCCCACUCAACCCUCUGGAAGAACACCAGGUUUUGCUAACAAGCCAAGCUUCUAGGUCCCUCAGCCUCCUGAACCAACAGGACUGGGUCAGAGAUAUCUCUGGGACAGCAGGACAGCUUCUGACCCUUGGACUAUGGGGAUUUGAUGCCCAGCAGUGACUUGAGCUUGGCACAAGUCGACCCAAGGCUCCUGGGCUUACCCACAGCUUCUCCCACUAGAGGCCACUGAAAGCCAGUGCCCUCAGGCCAUGCUGACGGCAGCUCAGGUGUCAAGCCCCUCAGAUGGAACAUUGGCUGUGGCCCAGUCUUGGGCCACAAGCUCCAGAAGGAAGAGAUGCCUUUGCAGUGCUGUCCCAAGUAAGCACAUUCUGCUCCCGUCCCCUUCCAGAUUCCACUUAUGGCUUCAACACUUCUGCAUUCCCAAUGAGGAGCUGUGACGUGACUCUGCAAGCGUCUGCACUGCCAUCUGCCAAGCAAGGUGCUAACGAGCGUGACUAACGGGAUCCAGAGCUGGCCUAGGGAUUGCAAAGUCUCUGUAUUUGACUAAAAAAGGUAUCUUGCUUUUUAUUAAAGCCAC
ensembl:lncRNA